rnacentral:rRNA from 1 species
AUAUAGGGGCGAUUCGGUUUAGCGGCCCCGAAUUCGCCUUGUGCCAGCAGCCGCGGUAAUUCCAGCUCCAAUAGCGUAUAUUAAAGUUGUUGUGGUUAAAAAGCUCGUAGUUGAACCUUGGGCCUGGCUGGCCGGUCCGCCUCACCGCGUGCACUGGUCCGGCCGGGCCUUUCCCUCUGUGGAACCCCAUACCCUUCACUGGGCGUGGUGGAAAAACAGGACAUUUACUUUAAAAAAAUUAGAGUGCUCCAGGCAGGCCUAUGCUCGAAUACAUUAGCAUGGAAUAAUAAAAUAGGACGCGCAGUUCUAUUUUGUUGGUUUAUAGCACCGCCGUAAUGAUUAAUAGGGGCAGGCGGGGGCAUCAGUAUGCAACUGGCAGAGGUGUAAUUCUUGGGAUCAGGUGAAGACUCACUACUGCGAAUGCUUUUGCCGAGGAUGUUUUCAUUAAUCAGGAACGAAAGUUAGGGGGAGCGAAGACGAUCAGAUACCGUCGUAGUCUUAACCAUAAACUAUGCCGACUAGGGAUCGGGACGGGUGUUAUUCAUGACCCGUUCGUCACCAUAAAGAGAAAACACAGCGCCUGCACUCCAGGGGGAGUAUGGUCGCAAGGCUGAUACAUAAAAGAUAAUUGACGGAAAGCCCACCACCCAGGGGUGCAGCGUGCGGCUUUAAAUUUGACUCAACCACGGGAAACCUCACGCCGUCCCAGACACAAUAAAGGAUUGACAGAUUUGCAGAUCUCUUUUCUUUGAUUUUGUGGGGUGGGGGGCCGCAUCGCCUCGUUCUUAGGUGGGGGGGGCUGGACUUCGUCUUGCUUAAACUGGCAGAAAACGAAACGACAACCUUAAACCAUGCUAAAAUAGGCCCUGCAGUGGCUCGGGACAGUUGCCUCUGGAUCUAUCUAUAAGAGGGCACCUUUCGGAUUCGAAGGCGAGGGUAAAGUUUAGAGCCAAAUUAACGGGGCUCUGGGAAUUGUCUUUUAAAAUGGGUCCUGGGGGCGCGCACAGACAUUGCCUUAUAAAACCAUAGAGCACGGA